rnacentral:lncRNA from 1 species
AAAUUGGUACCAGUAAAGUGGGGUACUGCUAUAAAGAUACCUGAAAAUGUGGAAAUGGGUAACAGGCAGAGGUUAGAAGUUUAGAGGGCUCAGAAGAAGACACAAAAAUGUGGGAAAGUUUGGAACUUCCUCAAGACUUGGAGGGCUCAGAAGACAGGAAAAUGUGGGAAACUUUGGAACUUCCUAGAGACUUGUUGAAUGGCUUUGACCAAAAUGCUGACAGUGAUAUGGACAAUAUUUGUCCAGGCUAAGGUGGUCUCAGAUGGAGAUAAGGAACUUGUUGGGACCUGGAGUAAAGGUCACUCUUCCUAUGCAAAGAGACUGGCGGUAUUUUGCCCCUGCCCUAGAGAUCUGUGGAACUUUGAACUGAAAGAAAUGACUUAGGGUAUCUGGCAGAAGAAAUUUCUAAGUGGUAAAGCUGUUCAAGUGGAAGUAGAGCAUAAAAGUUUGGAAAAUUUGCAGUCUGAUGAUGCGAUAGAAAAGAAAAACCCAUUUUCUAGGGAGAAAUUCAAGUUUGCUGCAGAAAUUUGCAUAAGUAAAGAGGAGUGGAAUGUUAAUCACUAAGACAAUGGGGAAAAUGUCUCCAGGGAAUAUUAGAGAACUUCAUAGCAGCCCCUCCCAUCACAGGCCUGGAGGCCUAGGAGGGAAAAAGGGUUUGUGGGCUGGGCUAAGGGACCCCUGCUCUAUGCAGCCUGGGGACAUGGUGCCCUACAUCCCAGCUACUUUAGCUCCAGCUGUGGCUAAAAAGGGCCAACCUACAGCUCAGGCCAUUGCUUCAGAGGUUCCAAGCCCCAAGCCUUGAUAGCUUACAAAUGUGCUGGGCCUGUGGGUGCACAGAAGUCAAGAAUUGAGGUUUGAGAACCUCUGCCUAGGUUUCAGAG